GUGGAUAAUAAUGUUGGUGAUUCAUAAUUCAAUGCAAAUCAAAUGAAAAACCCACAAAUAAUUAUUUCUUUCUCAUCAUAAAACCCUAAUUUAUCAUUUCAUAAUAUCAAACAAAAGGUAGACAAGGAACAACUCUCAUCUCAAACAGACUCAAAAAUCAGAGCAGCGACCGUUUCGCUCCCAAUCGCCGUAUCGAGUUGGCUCGGGUCCUCUGGGCCCGCCGAUCUCGCCGGUCUCUUUAUUCACAUGAACUCCAUCCUCAUCUCUUCUUCUUCUUCUUCUUCUUCUUCAAUCUCUCCGCUUUUGAUUUCAGGAUUCUGUUUGAUUGCGUUUUCUAUUUCUUCUUUCCUUUUGAGGCCUUCUUCAGAUUUUUGUUGCUGUUGGUGACCCGAUGAGCUUAUGAAUCGACUUAUCGAGUUGCAAACGGAACGACUCACUGGCAUGGAUCUGGUGUAGGGCAUUGCUAAUUUGGGGUUGGAGGGAUUUAAGAAGAAUGUUGAGAAUAGACGGCCAAGAUUGCUUCUCGCCAUGGUUUCUCUUGGAUCUGCAAAAAAAAACCAGAGGAAAACCCUAUUAC
rnacentral:misc_RNA from 1 species